UGGGGAAUUUUGGACAAUGGGCGAAAGCCUGACCCAGCAACGCCGCGUGAAGGAUGAAGUAUUUCGGUAUGUAAACUUCGAAAGAAUAGGAAGAAUAAAUGACGGUACUAUUUAUAAGGUCCGGCUAACUACGUGCCAGCAGCCGCGGUAAUACGUAGGGACCAAGCGUUGUUCGGAUUUACUGGGCGUAAAGGGCGCGUAGGCGGCAAUUCAAGUCAUCUGUGAAAUCUCCGGGCUUAACUCGGAACGGUCAGAUGAUACUGCUUUGCUAGAGUGCAGAAGGGGCAAUCGGAAUUCUUUGUGUAGCGGUGAAAUGCGUAGAUAUCAAGAGGAACACCUGAGGCGAAGGCGGGUUGCUGGGCUGAUACUGACGCUGAGGCGCGAAAGCUAGGGUAGCAAACGGGAUUAGAUACCCCUGUAGUCCCUGAGCGGGCUGGCAAGGCGCAU
rnacentral:rRNA from 1 species